rnacentral:lncRNA from 1 species
AAAAGAAAACCUAGAAGCCUAAAGCACUAUCCCUGCGCCGCUUCAUGCCCCGGCCGUUCAGAGGCCUCUGAACCCUCGCUCAUGCUCCGAUUGCAACGGAGAGAACAAGGAUUCGGCCUCGAGGUAUGUUUUCUGGUUUCUCAACCUCUUUCUAGUAUAUUUUAUAUGGUGAAUAAAAAAACAAGAACAGAAGAGAGAAUCAAAAGAAAAAUAAAGAAGCGGAGAAAAGAGAAAAAAAAAACGGAAUCACAUUCCCCCAAAAACCUUGUUUUUUUGAUUUUUUUUUGUAUUAAUAUUGAGUUCGUAACCUUUACAAACGCUGAAAAUGGCUUUUAUAUAGCCGAAAAAAAUGAAAAUUACAAGAGAAAAUGUAUUUUGCUCUCUUUCUCGUUUUCUUUUUUCUCCCUCUUUUUUGCUGCCGAUUUUUGCUUUUGUUACUCUUGUUGUGUUUGUUUGGCCUUUUUGCAGGUGUACGGUGGCUGUACGGUGACGUGGAGGGCGGUGCAUGUGUAAGGGGAGGUCCUGGUGGCUGCGGCGCUGGAGGCUCGCGCUAUUAGGGUUUCGGCUCUAUUUUUUUAAUGUAAUGGGCUUAGGGUUAGGUUAGUGGGCUAGGUGCACUGGGCCAUUUGGGUUUAAUUUUUAAUGGGCUACCAAUUUGGGUUGAUUGGGCUUUUUAGAUAGUGGGAUAUUGUAAUUGGACAUUUGGACUGUUAUUAAUUUUGUUUGGUUUAUUUUAUUGUUUUGAUUUGAUUUUAUAUUACAGGCCGGACAAAUUGGCCUAUUACAAUCAUUAUAUUAUUAGUAAUACUAUUUUAUAGUUCCCAUUGUUUUACUUGUCAACAUAUUUUAUUCCAAAU